rnacentral:lncRNA from 1 species
UAUCAAAUUUAAAUUUAAACUUUAAAAAUUUAGAAUUUACAAUUUUAAUUUUAAAAUUACAAAUUUUAAAUUCUAAAAAUUUAAAUUCUAUUUUAAAACAAAACUCUGUGUGUGUGUGUGUGUGUGUGUGUGUGUGUGUGUGUACCCAGUGGGUGGGAACAAGCUUGUUCUGGGGUGAGAAUUAUAGUUCCCACCUUAACGGGUUAUUCCUAGUUCCCACCUUAAUCAAAUUGUGUUUGGGUACAAGAUGGGGUAUAAGGCCCUUAUACCCCAUCUUGUACCCAAUCCAAACGGGGUGUUAGUGAACUAUUAGGAACAGCCAUCAUCUUUAUGAAAUUAUUAUUUUAUCCGUUCAAAAAUAUCCUUCUACUGCCACCAACUUUUAUUAUUUGCCCUUAAGUUAGGGGCAAAAGAAGUAUUUUAACUUUUUGCGAUUUUACAUAUACUCUUCUACCGUCACCAAUUUUUCUUAUUUGCCAUUCAAUUAGGGGCGAAAAAAGGUAUUUUGAUCUUUGUUUUAAUCUGGUAGAAAUUUAACUUGGAUUUAACCCGAAAUGACUUAACUGGUGGUAACAAUAGGGUUAUUUUUGAAUAACGGAGAACUAUAUGAGGAGUAUACGUGAAUAAAAAAAAGUAACUGUAUAUAUGAUAUUUCACAAGUUUUGUUGGGUAUAUUAAAUAUUACCCCAAAAAAGAAUAAGGACAAAAAUAUAACAAUAAUAAUUAUAUUUAUAGCAGUAAUAAAAGUUGAAGACUAAAAUAUCAUAUGUCUUAUAGUUCGAGCCAGAAAUUGCAAUUAAUUAAAGUUUGAGGACUAAGUUGUCAUAUGCCUCAUAGUUUGAGCUAGAAAUUUGUCACGCCUCGGAGCUGAUUUAAAAAGCCUUUUUAUAAUGAAUACUAUUUUAGAAAUCAGAGUUGUGAAAACCAUGCCUUUUUUAAAAAUUCCACCUGGCCCACGUGGCGUACAGACCUGCCACAAAUACUAGGUUCCUCUGCCCACACGAACAGAGUGUCCUUUGUAUUUGUACGGCGUACCUAACGAUAACAACAACAGGAUCACAACUCACAACCUACAUAUACCAAUCCGCAAGCAAUUCAUACGAUGCAAUUCCAUACAGCUAGCGAUCCUUAAAGAUGAUAUAUGCCUCUAAAAACUCCUUAGGCACUGGAUGAUGCGAUGCACAAUACAACAAUCAUCCUAUUUAAAAGUGCUCCCACCCGAAAGCUUUGUUUUUAAACUCUAUUUGAUAAUCCAUAAAAACCAUUCGAAAAUUUUUUAAAAUUGUUUCCCACUCGGAAACUCCAUUUUUAAAAAUCGACUACCUCCAGGGGUAGAAAACCAUAACGCAUGAAUAGAUAAAUCCAAAUACCCAAGAUUCAUAAAAUUUCGAUUGCAUGCAUAAUAGAAAACAUCAACUCAUACAAGUUCACGAUUAUUUAAGCAGCAACAAUGAUCAUCUAACUGAACAAUUUAUUUUUUAAAUUACUAACUGCAGAAAAGAAAAUAACUA